rnacentral:tRNA from 1 species
GCAUACAUGGUGUAGCGGUAACAUUGGGUCUUCCCAUGGCCUAGCUCCGAGUUCGACUCUCGGUGUAUGCA